rnacentral:rRNA from 1 species
UACGUAGGGUGCGAGCGUUAAUCGGAAUUACUGGGCGUAAAGCGUGCGCAGGCGGUCUGUUAAGACAGAUGUGAAAUCCCCGGGCUUAACCUGGGAACUGCAUUUGUGACUGGCAGGCUAGAGUAUGGCAGAGGGGGGGUAGAAUUCCACGUGUAGCAGUGAAAUGCGUAGAGAUGUGGAGGAAUACCGAUGGGCGAAGGCAGCCCCCUGGGCCCAAUACUGACGCUCAUGCACGAAAGCGUGGG